rnacentral:rRNA from 1 species
AACGAACGCUGGCGGCGUGGAUAAGACAUGCAAGUCGAACGAGGAAUUUUGAUAGCUUGCUAAUGAAAUUCCUAGUGGCGGACGGGUUAGUAACACGUGAGAAUCCUACCCUUAAGUGGGGAAUAGCCUUUCGAAAGGAAGAUUAAUGCCCCAUGGUCUCUACGGAGUAAAGAUGCCUUCGGGUGUCGCUUAAGGAUGGGCUCGCGGCCUAUCAGCUAGUUGGUGAGGUAACUGCUCACCAAGGCAACGACGGGUAGCUGGUCUGAGAGGACGAUCAGCAACACUGGAACUGAGACACGGUCCAGACACCUACGGGUGGCAGCAGUCGAGAAUCAUUCACAAUGGACGAAAGUCUGAUGGUGCAACGCCGCGUGGAGGAUGACGGCCCUAGGGUUGUAAACUCCUGUCAUCAGGGAGUAAGACUUAUUCGUUAAUAGCGUGUAAGUUUGAUAGUACCUGAAGAGGAAGGGACGGCUAACUUCG